UGCGCAAACAAAAAAUUCACAGAACUGAGAUCGUCGGCAGAGUCGCAACAAUACCCGAUGCGGAAUGAUAGUAGGAAAACGUGGAGUCACAGAGAUGGAUUGGGCAGCUCGUUCAGCGCAGAGAUUAGAGGGAACGAGUGGGCCCCCUUGAUUCUUAUUCCGCUCCUGGCGGCCGUCAUGCUGGUAGCCAGUGUCCUGCUUUUGAUUAUCUUCAGACAACAUCCAACGUUGGUGAUAACGACGGUCGCCGGUUGCCUAGUUAUUGUUACCAUAUACUUGACUUUCACUACUGUAGGGAAUGUAAGCGAAACGUACGAAUAACAAUAAAACACUUCUUUAUACAA